AUUUUAGAAUCAUCGAAAACCGUUCGAGGAGAUAAAAUCAUUUGUGAUGAAGGGAGAAUGUGAGGAGGCAGUAAACGAGUUUAAGAGAAGGAUUAGCCAGUGGGGAAAAGGAAGAAAGCCUGAAAAAGGGCCUUCAGGUACAGAAGAAUCUACAGAGUAAUUACAAAUAUAUGUAAUCAUACAUGUUUUCCAAUCAAAUAUGAAACUGUUGUAA